rnacentral:rRNA from 1 species
CAGCAGCCGCGGUAAUACGAAGGGUGCAAGCGUUAAUCGGAAUUACUGGGCGUAAAGGGUGCGUAGGCGGUUGUUUAAGUCUGUUGUGAAAGCCCUGGGCUCAACCUGGGAAUUGCAGUGGAUACUGGGUCACUAGAGUGUGGUAGAGGAUAGUGGAAUUUCCGGUGUAGCAGUGAAAUGCGUAGAGAUCGGAAGGAACAUCUGUGGCGAAGGCGACUAUCUGGGCCAACACUGACACCGAGGCACGAAAGCGUGGGGAGCAAACAGGAUUAGAUACCCGCGUAGUCCCUGUCUCUUAUAU